rnacentral:lncRNA from 1 species
UUCACUUUAACCGGUGACGGAUUUUCUCUUUGAUUGGUCUUCUUCCCAAUAACCGGUAGUUAUAAAUCCGACUUUGUCCCCUCGCAGAGUUAAUCCUUGAUAUGUACAUCCUGACCGGUGACGGAUUCUCUCUCCGAAGGUUUUCUAUCCAGCUUUCGAUAGAUGUAAUUCUUCCCUUUUUGUUCAGUUGGUAUAUCCUUUAUAU